rnacentral:tRNA from 1 species
GGGCGAUUGGUGUAAUUGGCUAACACGUCUGGUCUACACCCAGAAGAUUUGGGGGUUCGAGUCCCUCAUUGCCUACCA